rnacentral:tRNA from 1 species
GGAGAUAUAGCUCAGUGGUAGAACACUUGCCUAACAUGCACAAGGCCCUGGGUUCAAUCCCUGGUACCACCA